UCCUGCACCUGUCCUCAGGGCUGCCUCCUCCAACACCUCCUCCCUGCUUCUCUUGUCAAAGGACCUUCUGGCUUGGUCUGAACUGUCAGGUUCAAUUUCUCGAGCUAAACCUUUGAAUCUGGCUGACCCACUCUUGAAUGGUCUUUGUUCCCCAGCUAAGAACCAGCUGAUCUCAGCCCCGGCCAAAAUUUGCCUCAGGGGACUUGCCUGCCUCUAAAUCAUAGCUUCUCUACUCAGUCCCAGACCUCUCCUCCAACUCCAUCUCUCCUCCCUCCUUCUAACCCACAUUUAUGAGGUACCUGCUCUGUGAGUGCUGGGCGGAUACAGACAUGGUGGAACUGGGCCCUGCUCUCCAAAUGCUGACAGCCUCCCAGUAAGAUACUCGUGCAGAACAAGGCAGCAUAGAAUAUAUUCUCUCUCUCUCUUUUUCUUUGUUUUGCCAGAGGUAAAGGAAAGUUCUGUGAGAGAAGGGAAGGAGGGGUGAAGACCAGUUCUGUGUUCUCCAGCUUCCAGUCACAUCUCAUUGGCACUAGAGAUAUGGAGAUGGAAGAAGAGAGAGUCAGUGUCCUCAGGGUCGAGGUGAAGAAGACAGAUGAUGUGCCAGUGUGAUGUGAUCAAGGCCAGCCAAAAUGACAACAUGGGAUGAAGGUAUGAUGAUGGCCCCCAAGGAACCUGCCCAGGCUGCUGUGGGAGCACCACAUCUUAGAAGC
rnacentral:lncRNA from 1 species